rnacentral:rRNA from 1 species
UACGUAGGGUGCAAGCGUUAAUCGGAAUUACUGGGCGUAAAGCGUGCGCAGGCGGUGAUGUAAGACAGUUGUGAAAUCCCCGGGCUCAACCUGGGAACUGCAUCUGUGACUGCAUUGCUGGAGUGCGGCAGAGGGGGAUGGAAUUCCGCGUGUAGCAGUGAAAUGUGUAGAGAUCGGGAGGAACACCGGUGGCGAAGGCGGGUCUCUGGGCAAUUCCUGACGCUGAGGCGCGAAAGCUAGGGGAGCAAACGGG